GGCCGCCUGGCGAAAUGGCAUCGCGUCUGACUACGAUAAUGUUGCGGGCAAUUGUAAUCAGGAGAUUGCAGGUUCGACCCCUGCGGUGGUCA